GUGCCGAUGAUCCGAAUUUUUUGGAUCCGAUGCCUGAUGAAUCCGCGGUGCUGUCGACUAGCUCCAACUCCCCUGAGGCCCUGUCUCAUCGGUUUUGGGUGAAUGGUUGCUUAUCAUACUUUGACAAAAUUCCGGAUGGAUUUUACCAAAUUCAUGGAAUGGAUCCAUAUGUGUGGACUGUAUGCUCGGAUUUGCAAGAGAAUGGUCGUAUUCCAUCUAUUGAGUCAUUAAAGUCUGUUGAUCCUAGUGCUGAUUCUUCAUUGGAAGUGGUUUUAAUUGAUCGACGCAGUGAUCCAAGCUUGAAGGAACUCCAAAAUAGGGUCCACAGCAUUUCUUGCAGCUGUAUAACUACAAAAGAGGUAGUUGAACAGUUGGCAAAGCUUGUCUGCAAUCGCAUGGGGGGUUCAACCAACGUGGCAGAAGAUGAUUUCAUUUCUAUGUGGAGGGAAUGCAGUGAUGAGUUAAAAGAUUGCUUGGGAUCUGUUGUGGUUCCAAUAGGCAGCCUAUCGGUUGGUCUAUGCAGACAUCGAGCAUUAUUAUUCAAGGUGCUUGCUGACACUAUUGAUUUGCCAUGUCGAAUUGCAAGAGGCUGCAAAUACUGUAAAAAAGAUGAUGCUUCCUCAUGUCUUGUGCGAUUUGGCCUUGACAGGGAAUAUCUCGUUGAUUUGGUAGGGAAGCCUGGUUCUUUAUGCGCGCCUGAUUCAUUGCUCAAUGGUCCUUCUUCCAUCUCAAUUUCUUCACCAUUGCGCUUUCCCCGAAUGAAAUCAGCUGAACCCACCGUUGAUUUCAGGUCUUUGGCCCAACAGUACUUCUCGGAUUGCCAAUCACUUGAUAUUGUAUUUGAUGAUGCUUUGGCAGGUAAUGGUAAAAAAAAAAAAAAAAAAAA
rnacentral:misc_RNA from 1 species